UACGUAGGGUGCGAGCGUUGUCCGGAAUUACUGGGCGUAAAGAGCUCGUAGGCGGUCUGUCACGUCUGCUGUGAAAACUCGGGGCUUAACCCCGGGCCUGCAGUGGGUACGGGCAGACUAGAGUGCGGUAGGGGAGACUGGAAUUCCUGGUGUAGCGGUGAAAUGCGCAGAUAUCAGGAGGAACACCGGUGGCGAAGGCGGGUCUCUGGGCCGUAACUGACGCUGAGGAGCGAAAGCGUGGGGAGCGAACAGG
rnacentral:rRNA from 1 species